UAACUGAAGAGUUUGAUCAUGGCUCAGAUUGAACGCUGGCGGCAGGCUUAACACAUGCAAGUCGAGCGGGGGAAGGUAGCUUGCUACUGGACCUAGCGGCGGACGGGUGAGUAAUGCUUAGGAAUCUGCCUAUUAGUGGGGGACAACAUCUCGAAAGGGAUGCUAAUACCGCAUACGUCCUACGGGAGAAAGCAGGGGAUCUUCGGACCUUGCGCUAAUAGAUGAGCCUAAGUCGGAUUAGCUAGUUGGUGGGGUAAAGGCCUACCAAGGCGACGAUCUGUAGCGGGUCUGAGAGGAUGAUCCGCCACACUGGGACUGAGACACGGCCCAGACUCCUACGGGAGGCAGCAGUGGC
rnacentral:rRNA from 1 species